rnacentral:rRNA from 1 species
UACGGGGGGGGCAAGCGUUGUUCGGAAUUACUGGGCGUAAAGGGUCCGUAGGUGGCCAACUAAGUCAGACGUGAAAUCCCUCAGCUUAACUGGGGAACUGCGUCUGAGACUGGAUGGCUUGAGUGCAGGAGAGGAAUGCGGAAUUCCAGGUGUAGCGGUGAAAUGCGUAGAUAUCUGGAGGAACCCCGGUGGCGAAGGCGGCAUUCUGGACUGCAACUGACACUGAACGACGAAAGCCAGGGGAGCAAACGGG